rnacentral:rRNA from 1 species
GAUGAACGCUAGCGACAGGCCUAACACAUGCAAGUCGAGGGGCAGCAUGAAAGUAGCUUGCUACUUUUGAUGGCGACCGGCGCACGGGUGCGUAACAGGUGUGCAAUCUGUCCAUAAUCGGGGAAUAGCCCAGCGAAAGUUGGAUUAAUGCUCCAUGUGAGUUUUAGAGGCAUCUCUUUAACUUGAAACGUAAGGAUUAUGGGUGAGCACGCUUCUGAUUAGGUAGUUGGUGAGGUAACGGCUCACCAAGCCGACGAUCAGUAGGGGUUCUGAGAGGAAGGUCCCCCACAUUGGAACUGAGACACGGUCCAAACUCCUACGGGAGGCAGCAGUGAGGAAUAUUGGUCAAUGGACGCAAGUCUGAACCAGCCAAGUCGCGUGAAGGAUGAAGGUUCUAUGGAUUGUAAACUUCUUUUGUCUGAGGGUAAAAAAGCGGACGUGUCCGUUCUUGCAAGUAUCAGACGAAUAAGCAUCGGCUAACUCCGUGCCAGCAGCCGCGGUAAAAC